AUGGAGGACGGGAGCGCCAGCAUCUACCAAUGGAGGAGAAAGACAUUUAUUAAAACAAUAGGAAUGCCAGCAUCCACUGAUGGAGGAAGAGAAGAAAGAUGGAGGACGGGAGCGCCAGCAUCUACCAAUGGACGAGAAGAAAGACAUUUAUUAAAACAAUGUAAGCAAAACCUCUCAUUUACACAGAAAGACACUGAACAAUAUUUUUUUUGUAAAAAUGCUGUCAUUGGUAAAAAAAGAAAUAUAUGUUGCUUUACACUAAUGCUUGUAAAAUGUUCACCACAGUGUCCCUAA
rnacentral:lncRNA from 1 species